rnacentral:rRNA from 1 species
GCGGCAGGCUUAACACAUGCAAGUCGAGCGGACCUUUCGGGGUCAGCGGCGGACGGGUGAGUAACGCGUGGGAACGUGCCUUCCGGUUCGGAAUAACCCUGGGAAACUAGGGCUAAUACCGGAUACGCCCUUAUGGGGAAAGGUUUACUGCCGGAAGAUCGGCCCGCGUCUGAUUAGCUAGUUGGUGGGGUAACGGCCUACCAAGGCGACGAUCAGUAGCUGGUCUGAGAGGAUGAUCAGCCACACUGGGACUGAGACACGGCCCAGACUCCUACGGGAGGCAGCAGUGGGGAAUAUUGGACAAUGGGCGCAAGCCUGAUCCAGCCAUGCCGCGUGAGUGAUGAAGGCCUUAGGGUUGUAAAGCUCUUUUAUCCGGGACGAUAAUGACGGUACCGGAGGAAUAAG